CUGGGCCCGGCUCGGCUGGAGGGCGGGUGCGGGUCCCCGCGUGUCACGCUCCAGCUCAAGAGGACAAGGAGGGCAAGAGUGAUCACUGACUCGCUGCCUUGGAUGGCGGAGCUCCCGUGUUGUUCCUUACGUGUGACAGCUAUUUCAUCUCAAGGUGAUCCCAUAAAGUGGAUACUGUUAUUAGCCCUAUUUUACAAUCUGCCCAAGAGGGGGUGAGGCCUGGAAGUGCGGCGGGCAGAGACGGGACGUACAUCACAAAGUCUGGAGAGGGCGCCUCCAGACGCGUCUUUGCAGGGCUUGCUGCCUCUCGAACCAUGAACUUUGUCUCAAAAGCCAUCUGGUUUCUCGUCUCGAAAACAUCCCAUGACAGCUCUGAGUGCUACAAACCAGGCUGGGUCAUCUGCUGCUGCUGGCUUCCAGAUAUUGCUCCAAACGUUUCUGCAAGGCUGGUGACGUCCCAAGACACUGAGACUUUAGAUGCCCACUGCCCAAUAUUUGGUAGUGCUCACAAAAAAUGUCGAUGGAGAAAAAAGUAUGACUGCAACACGGGGCAGCAAUAGGUAACAGGGAAGACCUGCGCGCACACUAGGUUUAUGCCCCGCUUCAUUCGAGGCCCUUGGAGGAAGCUGGAAAAGCAUGUAUGUAGUUCAGUAAUCUCCACCUGGUCUUUCUGUGCAUGAACUCAAGAGCUGGAACUGUAUUACAAAGCAAAGAGCUGGUGCUCGGCAUUCGGCAGGGAGUUCUCAGGGGCCUACGUCCAGGAUUUUAGAUGAUGUUCACCUUUUCAUGAGUAAACUUACCAAGAGUAACUUAAAUCACAGCUUUAGGUAUUCUAACAACAGCUUGUUACAUCCUUGGGCACAGUUACAUGAGGACGCACCUAUAUAUCCUUCAGCAGGUGUGGGGGGAUAGCUCCAACAAACACCUUCGACCUUGACGAGACAAACCUGACCACUGCAGCGUGGCCUCAGGCUCCAAAUGAAUGCCUCAAUGCAGCCAAACUCGCUCAAUGUCCAGGCAAGGCCACAGAUGGUACCUAGUGCUUCUGUACGGCUGAAGAAUAUAGUGUAGAGAUCCUGAUGUUUGUUAACUGCUGCUUUUCCUUCUUUUUUUCUUUCUUUUUAAGAUCUUCUCAUGCAGCAAAGUUCCUGUCUACCAACAUGAGUUGCAGUCUAAAGCCACAGUGAAUUUUGUGACAGUAACACUAACAAUCCAAUGGAGUAGAAACAUCCUAAUCUUCCUAUAAACAUACGGCACAUGGAGAACAGAAAUGAUUCUAGGAAUGACUUUGGCUUUUUUAAUUCUUCUUGAGGGAGAUAUAAAGAGCAUAGCAUCUUUGAAUUCUUGAGGCACUGUCACAAUACUCCAUGUGUUAUGGAAAAGCCGACACACAAAUGUGGGUCAUUAUUACUCUCCUUUUAAGAAUUGCAAGAGAGUGAGAGAGAGAGAGAGAAGCUGCAGCAACCCAGACCGGAUGAUACGGUAACACCAAACAGAAGCAGAAACGAUCACAUACACACUCACUAUACACUGGACUCCUUACUCUGUACGUACCCUCUGUUCUUUGGUCCAGGUCCCUCAUGAGCUGGAAGUUUCUCUGCAGUUCAAAGGGGAGGUUUUCAAUACCUGGGGAGAAGAGGAGAAAUUGAGCCUCCCUGGACGUCCUAGGCCCUACAGCUGCGUUUAAAGAACAGGUCCAGAACAGCACUCAGUUUUCCCUCCUUCAAACCGCUGGAUUAUCUGUGACAGCACUCAUCAUUCCGCUCUCAGGAGAGGUCACGUCCGCCUCUUUCCACAACUAACCCCUCCAUCUCUGCACAGCUUUCCCACCCUUCCUGCCUUCAGUGACUUUACAAAUCAGCCGUUCCCUUUCCUUUCCUUUCAACCUCUGUCUCCAAGCUCCUUGCCCUCAGCUUGCAAAUACCCUCCUGGCAUCCUCCACCACUCAUCGCACACACACUUCCAAUCUGCUCUCCAUACAAUAGCCAGAAUAUUCUUUAAAAAAUGCAGGUCUGAUCAAGUCACUAUCCUAUUUAUAACCCUCUAGUAACCUCCUACUGCAAUAGUCCUAUUCCGCACUUUCUGGCCCUUGCUUCCCUCACACCAGCCCUAACUCACGUCAGUCCCUGUCUGUGCUCUCUCUGCUCUAUCAUACUGGCCUCCUCUGAGUGCCUUGAACUUGCCGGUGCUCUUCACGACACUUGGCUUUUCACACGCUACUCUCUCUGCCCAGAAUGCCCUGCCCAGUCUUCUUCAUCCCACCUGCACCACACCUCUUGGCCUACAAAUUCCUGUUCAUUCUUCAAAGUUCAGCUCAACCCUGACUGCCCCAGACUCCAACAGGUGCCCUGGAUGAUGCUGUCAUGAUAUAUAUAUUUUUUAAAUAUGUAUUUCGCUGCGCGGGGUCUUAGUUGCAGUACACGGGAUCUUUGUUGCCGCAUGCGGGACCUUUUAGUUGCGGCAUGUGGGAUCUUGUAUUUGCAGCGUGUGGGAUCUAGUUCCCUCCCUGACCAUGGAUCGAACCCGGGCCCCCUGCAUUGGGAGCGCGGAGUCUUAACCACUGGACCACCAGAGAAGUCCCUGUCGUGGUAUUCUAUGUCUACCCUUUUGGGCUCUUAUCCAAUGUACUUAAAUAAGUAAUUGUGUAAUUAGUUAUUUGGUAUGUCUCCCCAGCUCUCCAGAAGGGUUAGAUGUAUCUGUCUUCUUUCCUGUUUCUCUAGAGUUUAGAACUAUGAUAUGCAUAGAGGAUCCUCAAUAAAUACUUGAAUAAAUGCAUGAAUACUUAAGUCUCUCAUAAAAGAAAAAUCUCUUCGCGUGACUCCCACUUCCAACUUUUAAAAUGCCUCCACUGCUUUAACCUAUAAACUCAGGUCCGCCACCACCAGUUUACUGAGAUUAAGUCAUCAAUAACUUACCAAAUCAAAUGAUCGGUUAUUAGUUCUAUCCUAAAAAAAUUACGUUUGCAGCAUCUGGCACGAUCUUCUCGUCUUCGAAUAACUUUCUUCCUCUUAAGAUUCCAAAUCUCAUCACAUACUUUCUAGCAAUUCCAUCAUUGACAUUUCCUUAGCCAGUCCCUUAAAUGUUAAUAUUUUCUUGAGCUUACACUUAAUUUAAUCCUCUAAUUUUAUUCUCACUUGCGUUCUCUGAAUGAUCUCCAUCUCAUUUACUCUUACAGAUACAAUUACCAUUCCUAUGCUUAGAUCUAAGUUGAAUAAAUAUGUUACUGUUACUCCUGAAUUUCCUAUCUUGUUGAUGAUUUACUGUCUACCUCACUUCCCAAACAGGAAAUAGAGAAGUCACCUUAGAUUCCUCCUUCUCUCUCAACCACCCAGUCACUCAGUCAAUCCUGUCAUAUUUAACUCCUAAACACUUCUGUCACUCCCUGAGAUCAGGUCCUCGUCUCUGACCAGGACUGUUAUCACUAACUGAUCUCCCUAUUACCAAUGUCAUCAUGCUCCAAUUUAUCGUACAUUUAUUUUCCUUUAUAUAAAAAAAAAAAUCACUCUAUUUAGAAAAUCUGUUGGUUCCUCGUUAUUUAAAGUGCACGCUGGUGGACUUCCCUGGUGGUGCAGUGGUUAAG